GGGAGGUAGUGACAAUAAAUAACAAUACGGGGUUCUUCGAAUCUCGUAAUUGGAAUGAGUACAAUUUAAAUCUCUUAACGAGGAACAAUUGGAGGGCAAGUCUGGUGCCAGCAGCCGCGGUAAUUCCAGCUCCAAUAGCGUAUAUUAAAGUUGUUGCAGUUAAAAAGCUCGUAGUUGAAUUUCGGGAUCAGCAGGUUGGUCUUGCCACUGGUAUGUACUAGCUUGCUGAUUCCUCCUUCUUGUAGAACCGUAAUGCCAUUAAUUUGGUGUUGCGGGGAAACAGGACUGUUACUUUGAAAAAUUAGAGUGUUUAAAGCAGGCUAGCGCCUGAAUACAUUAGCAUGGAAUAAUGAAAUAGGACGUUCGAACCUAUUUUGUUGGUUUCUAGGAUUGACGUAAUGAUUAAUAGGGAUAGUUGGG
rnacentral:rRNA from 1 species